UACGUAGGGGGGCAAGCGUUGUCCGGAUUUAUUGGGCGUAAAGAGCGUGUAGGCGGCUUUACAGGUCCGUUGUGAAAACUCGAGGCUCAACCUCGAGACGCCGGUGGAAACCGUAAAGCUAGAGUCCGGAAGAGGAGAGUGGAAUUCCUGGUGUAGCGGUGAAAUGCGCAGAUAUCAGGAAGAACACCCGUGGCGAAGGCGGCUCUCUGGGACGGUACUGACGCUGAGGAGCGAAAGCGUGGGUAGCAAACAGG
rnacentral:rRNA from 1 species